AUUAAUUCAAAGAAGGAUCUGAGUACCUUAUAGUCCAUCCUGAUGAGCAUUGCUCGGAUAGAGAGGAAUUCCAUGGCUGAAAGAAUUCCAGGGUGAAGGAUAAGGGAAAGCUAAUCCGGAGAGCAGGGUAAAAUCCUGCCGGUUUGCACCGUUAAUGCAAUCUGAGAGAUGAUGGAGUUUUUCUGUCAUAAUCAGGGUGGUACCGCGAGAACACUCUCGUCCCUGUU
rnacentral:ncRNA from 1 species